AGCGAACGCUGGCGGCAGGCUUAACACAUGCAAGUCGAGCGGGCACUUCGGUGUCAGCGGCAGACGAGUGAGUAACACGUGGGAACGUACCCUUCGGUUCGGAAUAACGCUGGGAAACUAGCGCUAAUACCGGAUACGCCCUUUUGGGGAAAGGUUUACUGCCGAAGGAUCGGCCCGCGUCUGAUUAGCUAGUUGGUGGGGUAAUGGCCUACCAAGGCGACGAUCAGUAGCUGGUCUGAGAGGAUGAUCAGCCACACUGGGACUGAGACACGGCCCAGACUCCUACGGGAGGCAGCAGUGGGGAAUAUUGGACAAUGGGCGCAAGCCUGAUCCAGCCAUGCCGCGUGAGUGAUGAAGGCCUUAGGGUUGUAAAGCUCUUUUGUCCGGGACGAUAAUGACGGUACCGGAAGAAUAAGCCCCGGCUAACUUCGUG
rnacentral:rRNA from 1 species